UACGAAGGGGGCUAGCGUUGCUCGGAAUCACUGGGCGUAAGGCGCACGUAGGCGGCUUUCUAAGUCAGGGGUGAAAUCCUGGAGCUCAACUCCAGAACUGCCUUUGAUACUGGGAAGCUUGAGUCCGGAAGAGGUGAGUGGAACUGCGAGUGUAGAGGUGAAAUUCGUAGAUAUUCGCAAGAACACCAGUGGCGAAGGCGGCUCACUGGUCCGGUACUGACGCUGAGGUGCGAAAGCGUGGGGAGCAAACAGG
rnacentral:rRNA from 1 species